UACGUAGGGGGCAAGCGUUGUCCGGAUUUAUUGGGCGUAAAGAGCGUGUAGGCGGCCUUCCAGGUCAGCUGUGAAAACUCGAGGCUCAACCUCGAGACGUCGGUUGAAACCGUAUGGCUAGAGUCCGGAAGAGGAGAGUGGAAUUCCCGGUGUAGCGGUGAAAUGCGCAGAUAUCGGGAAGAACACCCGUGGCGAAGGCGGCUCACUGGCCCGGUACUGACGCUGAGGUGCGAAAGCGUGGGGAGCAAACAGG
rnacentral:rRNA from 1 species